rnacentral:SRP_RNA from 1 species
CCGUGCUAGGCGGGGACGUAGCGGCGCCCUGAAUCCGCAAUCCGCUUUAGCGGGGCUGAAUUCCCUCCCGAGGGGUGCAGGCCCCGAGUCAGCGUCCGGUUAGCGGUGCUGAUGGUUCGGUCCCGUGGCGAUGGAGACCCGUGAACCAGGUCAGGUCCGGAAGGAAGCAGCCUUAAGCGGUCCCCUCCAGGCGUUACGGGAGUGCCGAACCGGAGCCGUCGACCGGAGCCGCGGCUCGGGUACCGGCCUCGACGGAGGGUGCACGG